rnacentral:lncRNA from 1 species
UGAAAGUUCGCAAUUCCUUAAUCUAUGGAUGACGUGACUAUUUCAGUUCUAUAUAAACAAGCUGUUGUGAAAUAUACAUUGUAAUGUAUCAUUUUUGGUGAACGUACAUUUCAGAAGGUUCGAUCGUUAAAAGAUGAAGUUGUGUUGUGCUGUAUUACUCCUACAAACAUUUUCUUUGUUAUGGAGGUAUAGUUCUACCUAUAGGUCCUAUAUGUUCUUGAAUCCAAGUGUUGCUAAAUUAGAUUCUUCAUAUUGUAAACAUAUAGCAAAAAAUGGUGUGGUCACGAGCAAUGAUUGUGCAACAUCGGUUGAUUGUAGAGGGACUGCUCGUGUCUAUUCCUGUCGACAUAGGAAUGAUUUACAGCUAUCUGGUUCGUCGUGUGUAAUGACCACUAGCUAUGAAUGUUUACGGAAAUUACAAAGUAAGUUUUAAAGUAUAAAUAGUCUAGUAAACUGGAAAACAAGUUCACACAACACGUCAUUGGCAAUUUAGCGUAAUCAAUGAAAAUUAGAUAAAAAAAAAAAAUGGAUCCAAACCUCCGAUGAAGGAUAGCUGAACCAUCUUUUUUUUCGAUAGACAUACAUAUUUGAUUGCCUAUUCCCAAGCCAAUAGGAAUUUCAGUGUAUGUUAAAUAUAAAAUGUAAAAAUUAGAAAAAAAUCUUGGUAUAACCUCAUUAGUUAAAAUGAAAUAAACCAGGGAAACAAUCAGUUUCUAGUAAUUGAUUAAUUUAUUGCCUAUUCAGUUUACAGAGUAAGUCCCAAUGUUAAGCAAAUAAACAUCAAGAUCGCCUAGAAAAUCCAUUAUAUAUACUUAGUUAUCAUGUACACAGUCAAAAAACAGCCUCCACUAACAACACAAAAUGGGACAGAAUCAGUUUUUAUUUUAAAAUUUUGAAUGAGGGUCACUAGAAUAAGGAGAGAAAAAGGUGCAUAGACAAAAAAGAACAUACUCUUCUUUAUACCAUUGUAUGGCUUCUUUGUAUAUAUAUUUAUUUAUCCUAUGGCUUCCCUUGAUUUUUUUGUUAACUUGUGUCAACGUCUACAUUGUUUUAUUUGUACGAAAAUCAAACUGUCUUUGACAUUAAAGAUUAAGUUCCGAAUUAUCACGAGGGCGUUAUGGGCUUAAUCACCUCCCUUAAACUAGCUAUAUUUACUCUCUACAAGAUAUUAAAGGUCACGCCCCUAAUCUCAAAUCAUGUGUCCGCCCUUAAUUUUGCUUUAAUAUUUCUUUAUUUCGAGGAGACUAUUCCACAACAUCUUCUAAGAUAAAAUUAAAUGUGUUUGUCCCAACUUCCUCAUCAUCUACUUUCCUACCACAUUGCGCACUUGCUAAGUAACAUCAUUCGAUAAACUCACUCGAAAAUCAAAUUAAAAAAACACAUUCACAAUACGAUCAAAUACAUUAAAAUAUCAACUUAAAUAACCUUGAUAAUAUGCUCGGUAACAUAAUUGUAUCGAUAAAAAUAUCUGUGAUAUAUUGAGGUACAUGAAUAAAAAUAAAGGCAUACAAAUUAUUAACUAUUAAAGUAAUCUUUGAUUCAGCUAAGCUAUGUUUAGAUUUGUUCUUUCACAACAGCAUACUGUAUUUUUAUAAUUGAUCGCACAUUAUUAGGAAGUGGGUAUAUGUGUUGAUAUGGUAAAGAGUCAUUAAUGUUAAUUUAUAAGAAUAAAAAUAAGAAAAAAACAACAAAAGGGAUUCCGAUAACUAUUAUAUAUUAUAUACAAACAGUCACUGUGAUGCAUUUGAUUAUUUUUUUUUAAUUUACUUGAAUGCAUAUAUAUAUAUAACGCCAUAUAUGGAUUUUUAUAGCAGAUGUUGUAUACGUGAUCUGAAAACUUAUUUCCUUCCAGGAAGACAGCAGGCAUGUUCCAAGAGGAAAUCGGGUUUACUUCCGGAUUCUAAAUUUUGUCAUCUGUAUUACGAUUGUUCUAACCCUGCUAAAUCGAAGAUUUGUCAGUAUCCGAAACUAUUCUCAACAAAGACGAACACAUGUCGAGACUUCAGGAAAGUAAAGUGUGGAUCUAGGAUAGAGUUUAAAUCUUACUGUAAGUAUGGUUAACUUCUUUAUAUAUAUAUAUAUAUAUGAUUCAUUAAAGCUUCAAUUUAUUCAUAAGAUGUCAAAUAAUUGUGUUAUAUAAAUCCCCAAAAUGAAUGUCGAUUGUGCACAAACACACUUGUUUGGGUAGGAACCAUUACCCAAAUCAUUACAUAUUAACACAAGAUGUUCUUGGCAGAAAUUUUUUUUAUGAUUUGCCCCUUCCUCAGAUAUAAAAAUAAAGGUUCUGAACUAUUGAUAGAUAAAAAAAAACAAUGAAAAAGAAAGAAUUAAGAGAUUAACGAAUGAUAUAAAAUCAUAAGAUUCAUUUGACAAAAAAGUAGUGACAACUCUUUUAAUACUGAUUUUAUUAAAUUGCCAAAAAAGCCUUCUUUGCAUAUAACACUGUAUCCCAGAAAUAGAUAUGUAUAAUUAUGUUAAAUGUGAAGAGUCAAAAAAUUAAUUUUAUGGUUCAAUAAAUUCAAAAUAAAUUAUUGCCAUUCAUUAUAAAUAAAAUUCUAUCAAAAAUAAGGCUCAAAGAUGUAUAUUUAUACCAAUAACAACGUACACAUAUGUUUGCAUAUGAAUACACAACGUUAGAGUGGGCGUGUCGCCAUAAAAAUUGAUAACAUUGAAAAUAAAGCUAAUUCUUUUAAGCAAUCAGAAGACAGUAAAUACACCAAAUUUAUUUAUUUCAAAAUCUUAUACCCUAUUGCCAAAAAAAAAAUUCCUCCUGCCAGGCCUAUACGUCAGUGGUUCCUCAGUUUGAUUGAAAAAAAAAGAGUCAGAAGAGACAGAAUAAUCAAACUUCAUUAGUCGAAAAGAAACCACAACAGCAUAGCAAAAAUCGAAAAAUUAAACAUUACAAAGAUAGCUAUAUAUAAAAAAAAAAGAAGUUGUGGAGUGAUUGCCAAUGAGAAAACUCAUCAUAAGAGACCAAACGACACAGAAAUUAACAAUUAUAGGCCACUGUACGGCCUUCAACAAUGAGCAAAGCCCAUACCACCUAGUCAGUUAUAAAAGGACCCAACAGAGUAAUAGAGACUUGUCUAAAAUUCUGGUGUGAACCCAUCUACUAAGAAGGGUCAACAGAUCCUAUUAAAUAUGAUACACUCAUCUGAAAUGAUCAUGUAUGACAUUUUCAUUUAAUCUUUAUAUUCAUAGACUUGUCUCAAAAUCACGUGUAAUUAUUUUUUUUAUCAUUUGAUUAUAUCAGGUCAAUAUCAUUCACAUCCUGGCGCUGGAAAUCGUGGCCACCUUGUGAGUUGCAGCAUCCAAAUUGUGAAGGGUACCCAGAUGGUGCCAACCCUCACACAGAGAAAACCGGAGCAGGCUCUCCUUGGUACAUGCUUUGCAAGGGCGAACGAUUUGUAAAGGACGGAAUCUGUCCAAACGCCAGAUAUGGUUUCAACAAAAAGACAUGUCAGGUUGUUGAAUGUAGCCGGAGAGGAAAAUAAGUAUUACCCUACUCUAGGGUGCCGGGGAUAUAUCUGGUGUUACUAUGGGAGACAAUUUAGAUACAACUGUGCUGUCGGUACUGUGUUUGACUACAGACGUCAGAGUUGCCAGCAUGUCUACGAUGUUUGUAAACCUUGCGGAACGAAAUCAUGGUAAGCUUCACAUAGCUAAAUGUUACAUGAUUAUAUUAGGAAUAUACAAGGAUUUUUACACUCGCAUAUCAGUAAAAAAAAAAAUGAAAUACAAGAUCCAAUUCAGUGGGGAUUUCCACUUGUUUCACUAUAAUUACUUUAAAUUAAGUUUCUUUUAGCAUUAAUAUUUUCAAACAGUUUUUUGGAAGGUUUGUUCGUGAAAGAGAAUUUCAAGUUAUAAGAAAUAAAAGCAGUCUAAAUGCGUUCUCCAAAUUCAACCUUGCGUCUGGUAGACAGCCUUAUUUGUCAAACCCACUGGACGUUAAGCAACCAACAAUCAAUUAUUUGUCAAACUUGCUCGAUUUUAAGUCUACAAGGUUAAAAUUGUUAGCACGAACAAAUUGUUUACCCAUAAAUCAAGUUUUGUAUAAAAUGAAUAUGUCUAAGACUACCAUUUGUCAAAUGUGUUCAUGCAAAUCUGAGGAGUCCGUGGAACAUUUCGUUCUCUAAUGUUCUGAAUAGUCUCCUAUACGAAAUAAGUAUUUUGCCGAUAUAAAUGAGUACCUAAGUACUAACUUCCCCGACUUUUGCUUCACGGAGUUACCGUCCUACGAAAAAAAUAAACAUACUGCUAGGUGAAUAUGUUUAUCAGGUUGAUCAUAAUGUUUGUUAACAUGUUGACACUUUUAGUAAAAAGAUGUUGAGUGAAAUGUACACUUACAGAUCUUCUUUGAUAUUGUCCUAUGUGUAUUUUAUUUAAUUGUACAUUAUUCAUUGUAUAUGCUCUUAGACGCAUUUGUGGGUACCCUGCCCACAAGUGCCCCCGUUGUAAAGGGAUAGUUUCUUAAUAAAUAUAUAUAAUCCGGAUCUGGUGUACAAAAAUAUUAACACCUAAUGUUUGUGGCAUAACAUCGAGGCCACAACUUGAGUCAAUUGUUUCCUGUUUAGUAUUAAAUUUAUAUUAAGAUUCAUUUUGUUACAUCUUGUGAUCAAUUUUAUUUGGCAAUCGCCAAUGGCAGUCAGCAGGGUUAAAGAACAUCAGUUGUUCGACCUGUUAGUCAAAUGCGUUUAGUUUAAAUAUACUUCUUCACUUUUUUGGUCUUUUGGAAAAAUGUUGUUUGUGCUGUAUUUAGACCCUUCUACAGCGAAAUUUGUUUUACAUGCACACGUAGUUUUCAAUUUAGACUUUAUUUGGAAGCCCAAGUGGUCAGGUGGUCGUGUGGUCUAGCGGGACGGCUACAGUGCCGGCGAUUUGGUGUCACGAUAUCUCAGUAGCAUGGGUUCGAAUCCCGGCGAGGGAAGAACAUAAAAUUUGCGAAAGCAAAUUUACAGAUCUAACAUUGUUGGGUUGAUGUUUAGACGAGUUGUAUAUAUAUAUAUAUAUUUAGCAUUACCAUUGACAAUCCCCCGUUUAAAUUUUUGGCUGAUAUUGUUUCAGAAGUUGCAGAACAAGUGUUAGAUAAAUGUGGUUUGCAUGGCAUACUUUUACUUUGUACUUUAUUUGGCCUUUAAAACUUUUUUGGAUUCGAGCGUCACUGAUGAGUCUUUUGUAGGACGAAACGCGCGUCUGGCGUAUAUACAAAAUUUAGUCCUGGUAUCUAUGAUGAGUUUAUUUAUAUUUGGUGAAUGUAGUACUAUGUCUCUCUUGACCUUUCUCAGAUGUACUAUGUGAUUGAUCCGUUAGAAAUAAUUUUCCGAGAAGUAACAUACCAUGUUAUAUAUGAUAUCAUAGAAUGUUUUAGUAAUUAUAUACAUGCAUAUAUAUUCAAUCUUGAAUGUCAAUAUUUAUAAAAUUGUUUUAAUCCAUACAUUUCGUUGUAGAAUCCAUUUACCCCUUUUAUCUUUUGGACAGCUUUACUGAACUGAAAUUAGACUUAAUGGCAUUGCACCUGAGAAAUGAUUUCGCAUGACAUACUUGUAUAUGGUAUUCAAUAUUUGAACCUACUCACUUUAUAUUAUUAUGUCGUUAAAAUAUCAUAAUGUUACUGUAUCAACAUAAACAUUCCGAUAUAAUAUCAACAUGCAAAUUCACUUCAAAAAGGCCGAUGAAAAGAAUGAAGAAUGUGAAUAUAAUAUUUUACCAGAACUUUGUCCUUUGACCUUCUUUUGAAAGUUGAUUCGUUGGUAAUCAUACCUUAUCUUAUCAUUUUUAAAUACUACGUGAUCAUAACCAAACGCUCAGUCUAUUUCAUUCUUUUUUUUUUUAUUAUUCAGUUGAUAUACACAAGAAAAAGCAUGGCGAUACUUUGAUCAAACUUUGCUGACGUUUACAUUUCUACGACAAGAUAUUGACAAAUACGACAAAAACAGUCUACUCUAAAUUUAUAUAUCUUUUAUUAUCUUAUCUUAGAUAGUAUAUAAUUAUACAUAGGUAACAUGAAACCCAACAAAUAUGUACAAUAUUUACAAAAAAAAAUAUGCCUAUUCAAUGUUUGAAAAAUCUUUAAUGUACAAUGGUUGCUAUUAAAUAAAUUAAAUAUGAUAUUCAUUUGGUUUUUUUAAAGUUCUGAUAUUCCUGUGGUUAAAUAAAUGUGCAUUUUGAUAAUAAAAAAUUGACA